GCGAGUGUAACUCAGUUGGUUAGAGUGUUAGGUUGUGGUUCUAAAAGCCGGGGGUUCAAAUCCCCUUACCCGCC
rnacentral:tRNA from 1 species